CGGGUGCGUAACACGUAUGCAACUUGCCCUAUACUGGGAGAUAGCCCGAAGAAAUUCGGAUUAAUAUCCCAUAACAUCAGGAUAAGCAUUUAUCUUGGUUCAAAGCUCCGGUGGUAUAGGAUGGGCAUGCGGUCGAUUAGCUUGUUGGUGAGGUAACGGCUCACCAAGGCGACGAUCGAUAGGGGGCCUGAGAGGGUGAUCCCCCACACUGGUACUGAGACACGGACCAG
rnacentral:rRNA from 1 species